rnacentral:lncRNA from 1 species
ACGACCGAGCCCACUAGCAACAAUAACUCGUUGGGCCCAACCACCGGCCCAAAAUACUUUAGCCCAGUUAUUAUUACUAGUGUCUAAGUCUCUUAUAUACCCAAUCACAUCUCCAUUCCUAUCCGAUGUGGGAUUAUUGGAGGUGUGACAGACUCUCCUUGUUAAGGCCCUGACAUCCUCGUUAGUCCAAUUACACACACAGCCCAAGAUCACUAGGCAAUGUGAGACUUGUCUCGCUAGCCUUGUCAUCCAGACCCUGGCAUCGCUGGUCAACU